rnacentral:rRNA from 1 species
CUUGGUCAUUUAGAGAAGUAAAAGUGUAACAGGUUUCCGUAGUUGAACCUGCGGAAGGAUCAUUAGUGAACGCCCUUCAUGGGCUUAAACUAUUCCAACCUCUGUGAACCGUGCCCUUCGGGGCUAAUUUUACAAACAUGGUGUAAUGAACGUCAUAACUUUAACAAAACAAAACUUUCAACAACGGAUCUCUUGGCUCUCGCAUCGAUGAAGAACGCAGCGAAAUGCGAUAAGUAAUGUGAAUUGCAGAAUUCAGUGAAUCAUCGAAUCUUUGAACGYAACUUGCGCCCUCUAGUAUUCUGGAGGGCAUGCCUGUUUGAGUGUCAUGUAGACUCAACCCCUCGGGUUUCCGAGUAGGUUGGAUGUGGGUGUUGCCUGUCUCUGGCUCGCCUUAAAGAACUUAGUGGGGAUAGCAUCCUAGUCGACGUAAUAAGUUUCRUCGGUGAUGGUGUGAAGCCUGCUCAUAACUGCCCUUGGGCACCUUUUGACUCUGACCUCAAAUCAGGUAGGACUACCCGCUGAACUUAAGCAUAUCAAUAAGCGGAGGA